UACGGAGGAUGCAAGCGUUAUCCGGAAUGAUUGGGCGUAAAGCGUCCGCAGGUGGCUAUGUAAGUCUGCUGUUAAAGAGUGAGGCUCAACCUCAUAAGAGCAGUGGAAACUACAUGGCUAGAGUGCGUUCGGGGCAGAGGGAAUUCCUGGUGUAGCGGUGAAAUGCGUAGAGAUCAGGAAGAACAUCGGUGGCGAAAGCGCUCUGCUAGGCCGCAACUGACACUCAUGGACGAAAGCUAGGGGAGCGAAUGGG
rnacentral:rRNA from 1 species